CAAACCACAGGCACAGAAACGGGGGGAUACUAAGAGACAUAGAGAAGACAUGGGCUAUGGAAAAGGCCACACUAAACCUAAAAAGAGUUGUGUGUUACAUUGAGGUGGACGCAAGAAGAAGGACAAGGCCAAAGGCAAAAAGAAACCAUGAAUGUUGACGCCAUCUUCCAGUGCUCCACCCCUGUCUGCCAAACAAAUACUAUGGUAUACAUUAACAUUAUACUGUACUUACAAAUAUCUAUAUCAGCCAUGCAUGUUUUUCCUACUUUUUUCAAAGGAUUACCUAACGAACCUAGGUGAUGCUUGUUUUUCAAAAUGGAGACUUCCUUAUUAACCCCCUAUAGUGGGGUCUUUGUAUGAUUUACUACAUCAAUAACAGGAUUUGACAAUUAUAUGACAGGAACUGCUUUGCAACCAACCCCAGAAAGUAUGGAUGAUGAUGAUGAUGAUGGGAUAAUUUGCAUGUUACAAUUUCAUCAUGGACAUUCAAUAUAUUGGACACAAUUUCAUUGAAAUAUUAUACAUUAUUUGACAAAAAUCAACAACAAUUUGAUACUGAGACAAAUGUUUACAGUAUGUCUACAUGUUAUGUUUACUUGUUGAUACAGACUCUGGUUUCAUUUGGCAAAUAGAGGGCCCCUCAUUUAAUUUCAUUUGCCUACAGCCAAGCAUUGUUGUAAUGACUGUAAUGAAUAUUGGUUCAUGAUCAGUUAUCCAUUAAAUGUAAAAGGUAACAGCAUAGAUAGACCAUAAUAAUAAACUGUUUUUCCAGAAACAA